AAUAAAUAAAUAAAAUCUAAAAAAAAAAAAAAAAGUCAGGCAUUGUUCCAAGCAUGUUAGCUAGUGAUCCCUAACAACUUCAUGAAGUGGGUACUAAGGUGAUGCCCAUUUGACAUGCAGAGUGAUGCUGGGAGACUUUUAGUAACGUGUCUACAUACGCCCACCCGGGAACCCCUGGUCUGCGCAGGCGGGAGCAGCGAGCAGACGGAACUCUUCCUGGGGGUACCUCCACGACCAGGGGGCUGGGAGGAAGGGAGAGACCAUAUAAAGCAGCCAUCUGGGUCACCAUCUUCUAUUCUGCUUUUCUCACCUCCGGCCCACCAAGCUCGGUCACUCAGCUCAGGGCAGCCGCGCACAAGCUCCUCCGCGGCCUGACUGCCUGCGGGGCCCAGCGAGUGGACGGACGCAGGAGGCGGCGGACGCGGGAGGAGGCGCGGCAGUUGUACCGAGUUCUGCAGCGGAUCCUAAUGCAAGUGGUCCGCGGACCCCACGCCUCCCAGACCCAAGAUGAUCGUGACCAGAAAUCCGACCACGUGGGAGGCUGUGAAGUGUGUUCCGUGCCCAGCUGCUAGGAGACGGGGAGGGGAGAGAAGUGUCACAGCCGGUGCGGCUGGGCCGUAACAGACAGAAGCCGGGAGCGGGUACGUCUGCCCCACCCAUGACGAGAAGGCCUCUCCCAAAUGCAGUCCGCUCACCUGUGACUCAGCAGACACUACUGUGGAGAAUGGAUUACUGCUUCCACCUCAGGAAUCUCUCCUCCACAUACAACCGCAGUGACUUUAAAAUGUAAAAUCAGGGGGUGCCUGGGUGGCUCAGUCAGUUGAGCGUCUGCCUUCCCCUCAGAUCAU